rnacentral:lncRNA from 1 species
UGCAGGCUUCUUGGCAUAGAAUCUCCGGUACAUGGAGUCAACUUCAGUGAGAUAGUAUGUUCCUGGAGCCAAAAGGCUACUGUCUUUGCUUGUUACAAAGUCUUUGGCUCCAUAUCUAUGCUCCAUUAGCUUCAUGACUUCCACAAAAUUCUCUGGGGGAAACUGCAUGUAGAGCACAUGUUUUUCAUUAAAAUGUUUUCAAUGGUAUAACAAUACUUCCAUUUAGUUUGGAAAGUAGAAACCCUGACUCCCAUUUAGUUUGGAAUCGGGGAAAAAUAGUCUUAAACUUCAACAUCUUACAUGACUUUGUAACAAGCAAAGUGUUUAUAAUCUCCAGGUAAUUUAGUUCUGGGUAAUUUGAAAAAAAUGUGUUUAUAAUCUCCAGGUGCAGACACUCUCAGCUAGUGUGCUAGAAAAAUACUAAUAAAAGGAAAUGCUCAAGGCAGCUGUCUGUAUAUGCUGACUGAAUGCAGUGACUAAUCCCAGAUAAACGGGUUAGGAUUAUAUAAAAAAAAACAUAAUAUCUGACAAAGCACACUUGAAGAAAGUGAAGAAUUACCUCAUGCCUUGAUUUCAACUUCCCUGCAACAUUCAUAACAGAUAGGAUGUUUGACAAGCUGAAGGGAUGACGACCUUCACUGAGUUUCAAUGAGAACAUCGUUGCAGUCAAACCACUUCCAUACGAGAACAAAACCACUCGCUUGCCAUCCUGCGAGUUAUUAAAUGGAAUCAUGUCUUUACAUAUUAACACAAGGAAUGAGAAUGAGAAUGAAAAAUUAGACAAUAGUAAAAGCAAUUACCAAUUCACUGUGUUUGUUGUGAAUAAGGGAAGCCAAUGCUGCAUACAGAGAUGCUGUGUACAUGUUACCAACUUGCUUCGGUAUUAAAGUGGAUGGUUGGACCUUUGCGUCAUAAAGGGGCUUUGCAAGUUGUUGGGAAACCUGUCGAUGCAUGGUAUCAGCAAGAGCCCCAAACUUUAACAUUUACACAAUUUCCACCACCAAUUCCUCAAACACGCAUAUAAUUUUCCAACCAAAAUAUGCCAGCAAUAAUAUAGAAUGAAAUUAUCCGGCCACAUGCAGGGUACAAUUUGAGGAAGUGAAGCCCGUGAGGCUAUUAAAAUAUAAGAGCUACCAACAUUACGAAUACAGAAAGUCAACAUCACUCAGGCCCUGAAGAAGCUGAUGAAUUGUCACUAUUAUGUCAAUUGUGUCAGACAUUACAAUCAUCAAUCUCAAUCCUCCCACAGGAAAAGAUGAAGGUCGUGAAAGAAAUUCAGAAUCGUAUUUCUUAAACAAUUGCAAUUAAGGUUCAAAACAGACCUUCUCAAGAUCCCGGCUUUGGUAGCUUUCAUCACCAGACAAGGUUGAAAAUGGUCCCAGCUUUUCUUUGGUAGCCUCG